AACGCGUGAGCAACCUGCCUAUGACAGUGGGAUAGCCUCGGGAAACUGGGAUUAAUACCGCAUAAAAUCGUAGAAACACAUGUUUUAACGGUCAAAGAUUUAUCGGUCAUAGAUGGGCUCGCGUCUGAUUAGCUAGUUGGUGAGAUAACAGCCCACCAAGGCGACGAUCAGUAGCCGGUCUGAGAGGAUGAACGGCCACAUUGGAACUGAGACACGGUCCAA
rnacentral:rRNA from 1 species